GAUGAAGAACGCAGCGGAAUGCGAUAAGUAAUGUGAAUUGCAGAAUUCAGUGAAUCAUCGAAUCUUUGAACGCACAUUGCGCCCCCUGGUAUUCCGGGGGGCAUGCCUGUUCGAGCGUCAUUUCACCACUCAAGCCUCGCUUGGUAUUGGGCAACGCGGUCCGCCGCGUGCCUCAAAUCGACCGGCUGGGUCUUCUGUCCCCUAAGCGUUGUGGAAACUAUUCGCUAAAGGGUGCUCGGGAGGCUACGCCGUAAAACAAACCCAUUUCUAAGGUUGACCUCGGAUCAGGUAGGGAUACCCGCUGAACUUAAGCAUAUCAAUAAGCGGAGGA
rnacentral:misc_RNA from 1 species